UCAGUACCGUGAGGGAAAGGCGAAAAGAACCCCGGGAGGGGAGUGAAAUAGAUCCUGAAACCGUGUGCGUACAAGCAGUAGGAGCUCGCAAGAGUGACUGCGUACCUUUUGUAUAAUGGGUCAGCGACUUACUGUUCGUGGCAAGCUUAACCGUAUAGGGGAGGCGAAGGGAAACCGAGUCUGAUAAGGGCGCAUAGUCGCGGGCAGUAGACCCGAAACCGGGUGAUCUAGUCAUGGCCAGGGUGAAGGUGCCGUAACAGGUACUGGAGGCCCGAACCCACGUCUGUUGCAAAAGACGGGGAUGAGCUGUGAUUAGGAGUGAAAAGCUAAUCGAACCCGGAGAUAGCUGGUUCUCCUCGAAAGCUAUUUAGGUAGCGCCUCGGACGAAUACUACUGGGGGUAGAGCACUGUUAUGGCUAGGGGGUCAUCGCGACUUACCAAACCAUUGCAAACUCCGAAUACCAGUACGUACUAUCCGGGAGACACACGGCGGGUGCUAACGUCCGUCGUGAAAAGGGAAACAACCCAGACCCACAGCUAAGGUCCCAAAUUCACUGCUAAGUGGAAAACGAUGUGGAAAGGCAUAGACAGCCAGGAGGUUGGCUUAGAAGCAGCCACCCUUUAAAGAAAGCGUAAUAGCUCACUAGUCGAGUCGGCCUGCGCGGAAGAUGUAACGGGGCUCAAACCAUGCACCGAAGCUACGGGUAUCAUCUUCGGAUGAUGCGGUAGAGGAGCGUUCUGUAAGCCUGUGAAGGUGAGUUGAGAAGCUUGCUGGAGGUAUCAGAAGUGCGAAUGCUGACAUGAGUAACGAUAAUGCGGGUGAAAAGCCCGCACGCCGAAAGCCCAAGGUUUCCUUGCGCAACGUUAAUCGACGCAGGGUUAGUCGGUCCCUAAGGCGAGGCUGAAAAGCGUAGUCGAUGGAAAACAGGUUAAUAUUCCUGUACUUCUGGUUAUUGCGAUGGAGGGACGGAGAAGGCUAGGCCAGCACGGCGUUGGUUGU
rnacentral:rRNA from 1 species